UAAUGGCUUCAUUUUUUUCCAUCUAAGAUGUUCUGACUACUCUCAGUAGCAGCAUAUUUUACAAAUAACAUCUUUCUUAACUAGUGAAAGAGCUAAGUAUGAAGAAUAUCCAGUUUGGAAUGUUACUUCCAGUAAAAAAAGAAGAUAAAUUGUGUGUAAGCCCACAGUCAAGUGACUGAAAUACCUAACAGAAGAAUGAUAUCUGAGAAAGACUUGAUACAUUUCUCAUGGAUGUUUGUUUGUUAGUUUGUUUUUCCCUUUAUGUGUUCUUGAUUCUAGCCUAAGUAGGUAUUACAGCAUGGGCUACGUGUUGGAUCAAAAUCAGAAAAAAUGCUGGGGGGGCUUAGAGAGCACAGAGCACAUAAGCUGUCUUCUAGCAGUUUCCCGACAAGGUCUGCUAAGGGAGGGCUGGGAAAUCUCUCUGGAAUCUUAUUAAUGAAGUAAUACUGUAAUGUAAUUCUUCCUGUUUGUGUAUGGGCAGCUUCUACUUCUUCUACUGGGUAUAAGUAUACAUCUAGGCUUUCCACGUCUACAGAGGCAAUGUCUGUGAGGUAGUGGUCUGCACAACACUGUAGGACAGAACAGCAUAGCAUGGUAUAGCACCUCUACUUGUGGAGAGGUGGGGAAUCAAAGAAUCACAGAAUUGUUUGGGUUGGAAGGGACCUUCAAAGGUGAUCUAGUCUAACCCCCUGCAAUGAACAUGGACAUCUUCAAAUAGAUCAGGUUGCUCAGAGCCCCAUCCAGCCUGGUCUUAAAUGUCUCCAGGGAUGGGGGAUCUACCACCCCUCUGGGCAACCUGGGCUAGUGUUUCACCACCCUCAUUGUAAAAAAUUUCUUCCUCAUGUCUAGCCUGAAUCUCCCCUCCUUUAGUUUAAAACCAUUAACCUUUGUCCCAUUGUAACAGACCCUGCUAAAAAGCCUGUCCCCUUCUUUCUUAUAGGCUCCUUUUAUGUACUGAAAGGCCGCUAUAAGUUCUUGUCAGAGCCUUCUCUUCUGUAAGCAGAACAACCCCAACUCUCUCAGCCUGUCCUCAUAGGAGAGGUGUUCCAGCCCGGGAGGUCAUAUUUCUUACAGUGACCAGAACUAUGAAUUACCUAUCCUCAGGAAAAAACAGCAACCGACACAGCAGAUGGAAGAACUGUAUGAGCUAGUUGUGAGAUCCAUCCACCUAUGAAAUAUUAGUGAGCCAGGAGACUUUUCAAAGAUACCUGUAUACCAGGCAGCAGAUGAAGACAAUCAGCAGAGCCUACUCCUGAAUGUGUUGAUUGUGUUCCAGCUUUUUAUACAAGAGCCUUGUACUUCAGCAGGAUAUCAGUGUAAAGCAUGUGGGGUGUUGUAAAAUAUCUUCAGGCUGAGAGUGAAAAUUGCUGUUUCUUUGUUCAGACACUGAAGCACACGUUGUUCAUUGCUUUUAAGUCCUUCCUCUUCCCCACAAAGCAAAGGAAACCAUGCUUACCCGGAAGGCCAAAUUGUGCACUCCUGGGGGAUCACGGGUAGUCUCCUUCAUCUCCAUGUGCCUGGCAAGGGCGUGCAAGUUCUGAGUGAAUGCUGAAAGCCACUCGUGGCACAGGGCAACAGCAGCCAGCACCUGGUUAAUCCAUCCAUAGGGCCAGUGAGUAUGACUCCAAGUCUAGUUACCUGGAGGCACUCGCAGGUUGCUCUGGCUCACUUGCAACUCCACCUUUUGGCCAGCGUGGAAACCUUCUUUCAGUGUUUCUUGAGUCCAGAAAGGAGGAUUCCUGUGGGUCCCAAGAGGCCAGUGGGUCCCAAGAGGCCAAUGGUUCCCCGGGCUGAUCCCAAAGGCAAAUGUGUGUACUUAUGUGACUUCUGGCUUUCCUCACUUACCUGGGGGAAAAUCUUCCCCACCCAGAUCUUUUAGACAUCAACACAAGUUGGUUGUUGUGUUUUGUUUUGUUUUGUUUUGUUUUGGUUUGGUUUUUUACAGCUAUUCUCAAGUCACUGUUUCUGCAAUGUUAUCAUGUGUCUGUUUUCAUAGCGGCUAGGGACUUCACCUAGAAAGAAAAGAGAAAAUGAACAGCUCCCAAACCCUCAACAAAUAUCAGUUAUGCAUUUUCUGCUGGCAUGCCAAAUCUUAUGGGACAGGGUCAUUUGGUUAUCUGUCCUCGGAUUAUUCACCUUUAACUAAAAAGUUCUCUAAUAUUUUUUCGGGCUUGUUAUUUUCAGUAUGGCAAAGUGAUAUUCUUUGUAUUUACAACUUAUUCUGUGUAAAUUUACUGAAAAUAGUAGUACUAUUACAGACACUAAUGUCAGACAGGAUUUGAAUGAAUAUAAUUUUUGUCUUGAAGGACAGCAAAAAUGAGAGAUUGUUCUGUUGAUCUGAAAUACAGCAACAUAUAUUUGUGUACUCAUUAGGUGCCUAAAUUCAUAACUUUCUACACAGGGAUUGAAAUAUCAUAAGUUUUGCCUUGUCCAAUGAAAAGGUAAAAAAUGAUGUCCUAUUCUAGGAAUAAGGAGAAAAUGGACUAGCAUGACUGAAUGUAUUAUUGGAAUUAAGUAAGACUCACAUACAAAAUAAGAUAGUGCAUCUUUCUGAGGAAUCUUCCAACUAUAUUUUAAUUCUAUUAUAAAUGAUAUGUAAUUCUAUUAUAAAUUAUAUGGCUACAAUAUAUGCUGUCUGAAUCUCUGAAGUAUUGCUCACAAAGGAGGACUAGUAGGUUUUUUUUGGUUGGUUGGUUCGUUGUUUGUUUGUUUGUUUUUUAGCAAGGUACACAUGACUUUUAAUAAAAUAUUAUUCUUUUCAGUGUUCAGAAUAUCUUCUGAUGUCCGAGGUUCUGAAAUUAGCUUGUUGUUGUUCGUAUUUGUCCUCUGAGUAGGGCAAUUUCUGUGACUAAUUGCUUAUCUCUGCACAUUAUUUGCCAGCAAAAAUAGCUGCGAAUGUCUUUGACAAGUUUGAUAUAAUUGCCUGCUGAUAACUGCGUGUCUCAGCUGUUUCUCUAUUCCUUUCUUCCUUUACUCUUCUUGACGGAUUCAGACAUGCUUUUACUAUCGGAGUGAAGAGGGCAGAGGAAACAAGGUAGUGAAUAAUUUUCAAAUUCAGCCCCCACAAUCCUAAAAUUUGUAGCCUCUGUUUGCAUCGUUGGAAGAAAGUUCUACCCUGGAAACUAUGCCAAGAUAGAAGCAUGUUCUGCUAUUGUUCCUCUGCUUCUGGCAGUUCAUUACAUAAUUUGAAACAUGUCAGAAUAACACUGACUUGAUAAUUUCAGUGCGAAGUUUCCUCAUCUGAAUCGUAGUUUGUUAGAAAACUCACAUGAUACUGAAAGAAAAAACAUCCACACAUCCAAGACACAUCCUGAACACACUAUAGAAAAGAUGAAAUAUGCCAUUUACCUGUGGACAAAGGACCAUGUAGUUAAACAAAAGGUGGGAACUCUUUUUUUUUGGUCAGGAUCAUUCAGUAGUCUACUCAAUGUUUGAUUUACAGCAAACUUAUUCCCAUUUAUGCUUAAUUUAAAUACUUACAUGAAGACAUGGACUUUCAAGAAAUGUUAUGUGUCUGAAGCAUAUCACAUCCUGCCAUUUCUGUUGAUAACAAGCCUAGAUAUCCAUUCUACACUUCUGUAAUUCCUCCAGCUACAAGAAGGCAUUAAAGGCUUGUACCCUAAAUGUUUGGGGUGUUUUUACAACAUUAGACUACAAGUGCUAUGCUUAGGCAAACGCUUGUUGUCAAAAUUCUACCGACUAACUACAGAGAAAAAGUUACAGUUACUAAAGAGUCACUUUCUAAGAAUAGCACUAAGAUAUGUUAUGUUCCAUACCAGUAUUUCUGCAUGAAGUCUAGCCGCUCUUCCUCUUAGUUGGAGUUCUUUCACUGUGUUUCACACAUAAAUUACAUUAAUGUUUUUCCUAGUGUGAAUAAUACAUGGAGGAAGUUCAUUCUCAUUUGAAGACAUAAAUAUAAUUUUCCUGGGUGCUUCUUACUUCCUUUUUUAAUCACAGAAGUUUGAGAAUUUGCUGAAAUAAUGCUGCUGUUUUGGUCAUCAGUCCUGAGAAACUAAGAAAGGAAUGCAUUAAAACAACAAUCUAGAAAAAGAGCUAAAUAGCACAGUAAGUAUGGGAAUCUACUUUUUUGGUAUAGACUAAGGCACUGUUGAUUUCAAUGUAUUGUGUAUCUUUACAGCUUUCCAGGCACCUAGCACAACGAACCACUCUUACUUUAUCAUACAUGACUGAAACAUAGGAAAUGAAUAAAUUUGAGUAAUGAACAUUUUUUUAAACUAUUGCAUAUAAUCAUUAUUUUCUUGCAUCCUUUCCUCAAAACAGAUGAGAAGUGCUUUCAGUCAUUCCCCAGAAAUUUAUUAAGGAAGCAGAAAGCUUGAACAUCACCCCCUCAAAGUAUUUUCCUUGGAUUCUAAUGCAGAUAAAGGAAACCAGAGGUCUUGCCAACAAGAGAGGCUUUCAGUUGGGCUUUAUGCUUUGUGAUAUACAAGGGUGUUUUUAUCACAGCAUAAAGCGAUUCGGGUUGGUAUAAAUGGGUAUCUUACAGGCAGUGGUAAUUUUGUGCUGAUACCAGGCAUCAGUAUAUCCCAUGGAAUGUACACAGAGGUCUGAAUAGUAAAAAACUGGAGUACUAUAGCAAAUAAAUAAAACUUUCGGUUAGCAAAAGAAAACCUGCUCACACCAGUGCUAAGUAACUUUGCCACAAAAUCCUAGUCACAAGGAGUAAAAUUCAGGGAUUUGUUCUUCAAGUGGCAAUGUGGCAAUGCUCAAUCUGCUCUGAAACUGUCAUACAGCCUGGCUGGUUUCGAAAGUGUUUUUUUGAGUACUAUAAAAAUAUCAACAGCACUGCUUACUAUACACAAAGCAGGCAAAUACAUGGCAAUAUGAUUCCUAAUAAUUUGCUAGGUACAUAGAGAAGAUGGGCAGGAGAAUGAAGAAACAGGUGAGGUAUCUAAAAAGAGUGAGAUCAUUCUGGUUUAUUCAUUGCUGAACUGUGGAAAGCAACUUCAUAGUUAGGACUUGUACAGUUGUUAAAAAAACUUAUUUUUUACGUACUUAAUUUAUCACAUUCAGUACGCAUAGUUGUGUUAAUUUUACUUAGCUAUGGUUUCUAGAACAUUUUGGUAAAAAUUUCAAAAUCAUUGAGAUAAUAAAAUUUCAAACAAUCUCUCUUACAUGCCGUGGGUAAACUGUGACUUCAAGUGAAAUAAGUGUUAAGCCUUUAAUUGGGCAGAGCAGCUUCAAUCCUAGCCUAAUGACAAAAUGCAGCUAUGCUGUUAUUCUGGCAACCAGCAACCAUGUUUUUCUAUACAUUUUUUUUCCAAAGCUGCUGAGGUCUCCAUGAUGAAAACCAGCAAAAAACCCCAAAGAAUUGUUGUGGGAAGAGUCAUAGUGACACUGUAGAUGGACAAGUAUUUUUAUGGUUAUGCUUAGAACUUGCUCCUCAAAGGAAAGAUGGGUGAAAGAAAAGCAAGGCUAUCGUUUACAAAUGGUUGGCAAGUAGAAGGAUAGUUGCUUUACUUUUUGCUAUAUACCCUAACAUUUAUUUAACCAGUCCUGCUUAUCCCUACCCUGACUUGUCUGAUUGAAAAUAUUUUUUAUUUGAAAAAAAAAAAAUGAAUGAAAAAGACAUUAUUUGUGAAUAUCUAUAAUCUCCAAGCUGCAGGAGUUUGCACUAUGGCCUGUUCAGUUUUUAGAAACACUUUCAGUAGGUUACCAAUGUAAAAGGUAAACUCUAAUACUCCACAAUAUUAUGAGAAUAAGAUGAAGGGAAGAAAUUACUGUCUUCUGGGAAAGAAACACGACUAUAGGUGCAUAAAUUCACCCCUCAACACACUUCUUGGAAAACCUGGCUUUGGUACUCAUUUUUAUCAAAGAGAUAUACUUUUUUUUUUUUUUUUUUUCCAGGAUUCCCAGCUAUUGGUCCUGUCUUCUUGGGGAAAAACAGAAAGUAAAGAGUUCUUUUCAAUAUAAAAACAGUUUUGGAAAAAUAAUAAACCUGUCAAGUUUAAUGAAAUUUGGACACAAACACCUGAAUUUUGGUUUUUAAAAUGUAUUAUACAUCUGUACAAAGUGACAGUAAAUGCUAUUGAAUAAAUGUUAUACGUUUUUGCAGC